CAGGAAGUGAGCGGAGGGGGGGCGGCGCCCCAGCCUCAGGCCAGGCGCCGGAGGGGGCGCCGGCUGCCCCCAGAAACGCGCUCCAGAUGCGCCGGCACUGCCAGCAUUCCUGGAAGGUAACGCCAGGCCACACGGGCGGGGCCCAGCCCACUGCCAGAUGUGCGUCCCCGCAGCUGCCCCGGCUCUAAUAAGAACCCGAGACCCCAAGGGGGCCGAGGAUAGAGUUAUCCCCUGCGGACGGAGACGCGGAGACGCUGUGGCUGAGAAGAGACAGGCUUACCGGCCCAACCCGGGCAGGCAGCCCCGCGAGGCACAGGGGGUGCCGGGGGCAGAGGAGCCAGAACCGUGGGGGCCGUGCGUGCAACCGAUGGGAACGAGGCCCGCUGGGGAUCCCUGCCACUGCCGUCGGUGAGCCUGGCCACGCACGGGGGCCCCGGUGGUCCCGGCGUACACUGCGCACACUCCCUGGGCCCCCCCUCAGUCUCAGAGAACCCAGACGGGUGGAAGGAAGCUGUUCUGCGCUGAGUCGUCCGCAGCCCUAGGGGGAGGGGCGCCUGAGCCGAGACCGCCCCGGCCUCGGGGCCUCGGGGCCUCCAUCCACCCAACCAUCCGAGGACAGAGCCGCAGGCCAGAGCCUGGGAAGGGACAACUCUGGGCAGGGGCUGCCUCCUCCACCACGGCUCACACAGGAGCUGGGCGACCUGGCCAGCAGCGUCUGCCCACACUGCUCCCAGACAGGACACCGCCCCCACUGCUGCUGCUCCUCUGUCUCUCUGGACACCCAGGGCCCACGGCCAGGAGCCGCUGUCUACCAACCUUAACCCGAGGUCAUGAGAGCCUGGGCACACCUGGCCUAAGCCGAGUGUUCGUCUUGCAUGGGAAGGUGGCGUUCCAGGGACAGCAGGUGACCCACGGGCGCCCAUCACUGUGGGGACCCACAGACGGCCAUCACUCUGGGGACCCACGAGCAUCCAUCACUCUGGGGACCCACGGGCGCCCAUCACUCUGUGGACCCACAGAUGCCCGUCACUCUGUGGACCCACGGACAGCCAUCACUCUGGGGACCCACGGGCGUCCGUCACUCUGCUGGAACCAGUGGUCUUUCCAGAACACGCCACACUUCUCGGUGUCCCCUGAGGUCCAGGUCGCAGCACCCAAGGAAGACGGCAUGAAAACGCUUGGUCCCUGGUCGCCUGACAAGGCCCCGACAGGGUGGCCGAAGGCCAAGGCUGCGGUGGUGGUCUGCCCGGCUGCGGGGAAGUGAUUCCCUGAGGCCUGGAGGCCCUCACUCCGGAGAGGGGGCAGGGCAAGCGCUGACGUUCACCGCGGUCAGAGACGGCCGCCAGCUGCCAACACCAGUCACCCGGGGCCGAGCCGCGAUGCCUGUCCGCUUGCUUCCGGGAGGUUGUCCGCAUCGCCCAGGCUUCCCAGGGGAGCAGGCAUCAGUGUCUGUGCCGGCGGAAGCAGCAGGAGCAGUGGCGGUGGCACCAGGCUCCGGGCGCAGGCCCGUUUCGGGAGGCACUGCACCGCUCACGCAGGAGGCACUGCACCCGGCGCUCGUGUGUGCAGGCUGGCCUGCAGAGCCCCUCAGGAAGGUGGAGAGGGGCUGCAUCCAACCAGCCGCCCCUCGUCCCGCCCAGCACCCAACUGCUAGUCUACAUCGAGCACCCGCUGACACUUCCACCCGUCUGCUUCAGCUGACCACCUCUUCCACCCCCACUCAACCGUCCACCAAACCACCCAGCCACCAUUUCACCCGUCGGCACUCUCUCCUUACCUGUUCACCCUCAUCACCCACCAAUCACCCAUCUACUCGCCUGUCCCUCCCUCCAUCCACCCAACCAUCCAUCCACCCACGCACGCAAUACCUGCCCACUGAUUCUCCCAGCCAGACAGCCUCCCGCCCACCCAUCACUCAUCUGUCAUCUCUCCACCUAUCCGUCCGUCCGUCCAUCCGUCCGUGCAUCUGUCCAUCCAUCCAUCCGUCCAUCACGUCCCAAACUCUCCACUCCUCUCCACACUCUACUGUAGUAAAGAAUUCUUCUGGAAAGGAAUCUACCUGCUACCUGUCCCUCCCUGGCCCCGUGGAGAUGGCUGUCAAUCAACCUGGGUCUCUUCCCCACUGUAGGCGGGGGCGGUGCCCCAGGCUAGGCCAAUCAGAAUCUGCCCUGAGACAUCUGCUGGGGCCCUCUCUCCAAUCCUUGCGAUCGCUGAGUGUCAGCCUACAACUGCUGGUGGCCACCUUGGCCAGCAGACGAGGAGGACCUGCCGGAGGACGCGUGUCCCCCCCCCCC